AGUGAACGCUGGCGGUAGGCCUAACACAUGCAAGUCGAACGGCAGCACAGGAGAGCUUGCUCUCUGGGUGGCGAGUGGCGGACGGGUGAGGAAUACAUCGGAAUCUACUCUGUCGUGGGGGAUAACGUAGGGAAACUUACGCUAAUACCGCAUACGACCUACGGGUGAAAGCAGGGGAUCUUCGGACCUUGCGCUAUUGAAUGAGCGGAUGUCGGAUUAGCUAGUUGGCGGGGGAAAGGCCCACCAAGGAGACGAUCCGUGGCUGGUCUGAGAGGAUGAUCAGCCACACUGGAACUGAGACACGGUCCAGACGCCUACGGGAGGCAGCAGUGGGGAAUAUUGGACAAUGGGCGCAAGCCUGAUCCAGCCAUACCGCGUGGGUGAAGAAGGCCUUCGGGUUGUAAAGCCCUUUUGUUGGGAAAGAAAUCCAGCUGGCUAAUACCCGGUUGGGAUGACGGUACCCAAAGAAUAAGCACCGGCUAACUUCGUGCCAGCCGCCGCAGUAA
rnacentral:rRNA from 1 species